rnacentral:rRNA from 1 species
AUUGAACGCUGGCGGCAGGCCUAACACAUGCAAGUCGAGCGAGCGGCGGACGGGUGAGUAAUGUAUGGGGACUGCCCGAUAGAGGGGGAUAACUACUGGAAACGGUGGCUAAUACCGCAUACUAUCGGAUAACCCAUAGGGGAUUAGCUAGUAGGUGGGGUAAAGGCUCACCUAGGCGACGAUCUCUGGCUGGUAUGAGUGGAUGAUCAGCCCCACUGUGAUUGAUACCGUGCCCAGGCUCCUACGUAGGAAGAAUUGGGGAAUAUUGCACGAUGGGCGCAAGCUUGAUGCAGCCAUGCCGCGUGUAUGAAGAAGGCCUUAGGGUUGUAAAGUACUUUCAGCGGGGAGGCGUUACCCGCAGAAGAAGCACCGGCUAACUCCGUGCCAGCAGCCGCGGUAAUAC